UGUACUAAAAUUGUUUUUAGUGUACACAGGUAGAAAAAAGCACUAAGCACUGAAGAUCACAACUGGAAGCCACUGUUAAAAGAAGUCAUGGUGUAUGGAGACAGCUCCAUUGGAAUGAGCUGAGUGUAGAAAUGGAAGAAGGAACCAAUCCUUCUCUUGCUAUUUCAAGGGGGCCAGGAAUUCCCAGGAAAAAAUCCAGCAAACUAUUCAAUUCUACAUCUUCCUCCUGGAGGCCUGGAGACUGGAGCAGUACGUGCUACUCAAAUGCGCUCUUUAGGAGUGUUGAGUUUCAGAGAACAUCACAGAAGUUAACUUCAUGCUGCUUUCAGAAAGACUGAUGGUAGAGGCUUGCUUGUCAUCACAUUGUCAUCUUGUCCAAAGAGACUGGAUCGCAAUAAGUUAAAGCUCUGGUGUGACACAGUAAAGACUUAAGUGUAUGCUUCUAAGAACAACCUCUUGCUAUAAUCCUAUAAGAUGACUAAGAUGGAUGAGGAAGGCUUAGGUUUGAGUCAAUCUUUGGGUCCUUUUCAUGCCUUUAAUUCUGUCUGACUGAUAAGACUAUAUGCAACGUGCAAGAGCGUUGUGCCUGAGCUAUGAAAACAGCUGCAACAGAGGACAGAUCUUAAAUCUUCCCUGGAUGGCGACAUGUAUGUUUGUAUCUAUCAAUCAGCCCUGUCUUCCUGCUUUGAGAUCCACCUGGUCAUUGUUCCAGGCAAAGUUUAGGGAACUAUUUCAGCAAAUUCAAGUGGAAUUUGACAAAUAGUUUCAGGCCAGUUAUUGUAUGAGGUGAAUUUUCUAAACCACCAGCUAAGAAGUUUUUAGGCAAUACAUUUCACUUUGUUGUUAGUUAUUUUUCAUCACUGUCUGAAGCAGAAAGAGGAAUAAUGGGUUGUUUUAAUUGCUCCUUUCAAGUAUUCCAUGUUUGGUCACACCCAAACAAAAUGUGCUCAUCCCAAAUUGUC
rnacentral:lncRNA from 1 species